UGGGGAAUAUUGCACAAUGGAGGGAACUCUGAUGCAGCGACGCCGCGUGAACGAAGAAGGCUUUCGAGUCGUAAAGUUCUUUUAUAUGGGAAGAUAAUGACGGUACCAUAAGAAAAAGCCCCGGCUAACUACGUGCCAGCAGCCGCGGUAAUACGUAGGGGGCUAGCGUUGUCCGGAAUCACUGGGCGUAAAGGGUUCGCAGGCGGAAAUGCAAGUCAGGUGUAAAAGGCAGUAGCUUAACUACUGUAAGCAUUUGAAACUGCAUAUCUUGAGAAGAGUAGAGGUAAGUGGAAUUUUUAGUGUAGCGGUGAGAUGCGUAGAUAUUAAAGAGAAUACCGGUGGCGAAGGCGGCUUACUGGGCUCAUUCUGACGCUGAGGAACGAAAGCGUGGGUAGCAAACAGG
rnacentral:rRNA from 1 species